CCCGGAGGAAGAGGAGACAAGAACGCUGAUACUGUACCACUCUGAUACCCCAGCCUGACGACUGUGCUGUGUAGAUAUCAGGAGCUGAGGAGUGUCCCAAGUCCUGCUUGUGAUAGAGAUCUGGUGCAGCAGUCACCAUGACCUCCCCCGUGUCUCUGUGUGUGCUGGCCAUUGCGCUGAUGAUGAUGAUGGGUGAACAGUCUGCUGCACAGUGGCAAGGAACACCAAUGCCAACUGCACCAGCAACUGAAGAGGCAUCAACUGACACACCCUUGGCGCCAACCCCAGCACCAGCCACCAAUCCACCAAAUACCCCACCCCCAGCCACCCAUGGACCACCAAAUACCCCACCACCGACCACAUACCCACCCAAUACCCCACCACCAGCCACGCAUCCGCCAAAUACCCCACCCCCAGUCACACAUGGACCACCAAAUACGCCACCACCAAAUACCCCACCCCCAGCCACACAUGGACCACCAAAUACCCCACCCCCAGCCACACAUGCACCACCGAAUACCCCACUACCAGCAACAUACCAACCAAAUACACCACCACCAAAUACCCCACUACCAGCAACAUACCAACCAAAUACACCACCACCUGCCACACAUGGACCACCAGCCACCCAUCCACCAAACACCCCACUAGGAAUACAAACAACAACCACCCCCACUACACCAGCUUUAUCCACUAUGACCCCACCAACAACUACAGAACCACCACCAACCACCACCACCACACAGCCAACAACAACACCAGGUGCGUACUGUACCUACAUU